rnacentral:lncRNA from 1 species
UAAAUGCCAUCUAGUAAUUGGCUAGGGGAGCCCAAUCUACCCUAAGGAUGUUAACUGGUGCUCCAUUAGGGUUUCUCUAAAAAUGCCUUCCAGGGAUGCACAUCACUCUCUCAAUAUCUUCAUAAUCUCAUGCCUCUUCUAGUAUAGCAGCCUACCUGCACUGCUCUCAUGGCCACUCAGUCCUUAAGAAGGCGUUAAUGGUGUCAGGGUCAUAACUGAUCAAAUGUCCCCUCACGUAGCUCAUGUACCUCCCAGCCGA